GACGAACGCUGGCGGCGUGCCUAAUACAUGCAAGUCGAACGCAGUGGGGACGGGUGAGUAACACGUGGGUAAUCUCACAUCAGAGGGGAUAACACGUGGACACAGGCGCUAACGCGAUACUGAAGGAUGGGCCAGGGGGGCAUUAGCGAGUUGGGGGGGUAACGGCUCACCAAGGCCACGAUGCAGAGCCGGCCUGAGAGGUUGAUCGGCCACACUGGAACUGGGACACGGCCCAGACUCCUACGGGAGGAAGCAGUGGGGAAUUGUCGGCAAUGGACGAAAGUCUGACCGAGCAACGCCGCGUGAGUGAAGAAGGUUUUCGGAUCGUAAAACUCUGUUAUGAGAGAGGCGGUAUCUAAACAGAAAGCCACGGCUAACUACGUGCCAGCAGCCGCGGUAAUAC
rnacentral:rRNA from 1 species